rnacentral:rRNA from 1 species
UUGGAGGGCAAGUCUGGUGCCAGCAGCCGCGGUAAUUCCAGCUCCAAUAGCGUAUAUUAAAGUUGUUGCAGUUAAAAAGCUCGUAGUUGGAUUUCGGGAUUCAUCCGUUGGUCGGGCUUCACGGUCCGUACUGGUGUGAUGGGUUCCUACCUUCUGAAUAACCGGCAUGCCAUUAAUUUGGUGCGCCGGGGAAGCAGAACUAUUACCUUGAAAAAAUUAGAGUGCUUAAAGCAGGCAAGUGCCUGAAUAGGUUAGCAUGGAAUAAUAAAAUAGGACGGCAUGGUUCUAUUUUGUUGGUUUCUAGGAUCACCGUAAUGAUUAAUAGGGAUAGUUGGGGGCAUUAGUAUUCAAUUGUCAGAGGUGAAAUUCUUGGAUUUAUUGAAGACUAACUUCUGCGAAAGCAUUUGCCAAGGAUGUUUUCAUUAAUCAAGAACGAAAGUUAGGGGAUCGAAGACGAUCAGAUACCGUCGUAGUCUUAACCAUAAACUAUGCCGACUAGGGAUCGGACGAUGGUAAUUUUUUAAUGACUCGUUCGGCGCCUUACGG